UGGCCCAUAGCUCAGUGGUAGAGCACUACCUUGACAUGGUAGGGGUCUGCAGUUCGAUCCUGCAUGGGCCAACCA
rnacentral:tRNA from 3 species